rnacentral:rRNA from 1 species
GACGAACGCUGGCGGCGUGCUUAACACAUGCCAGUCGAACGGUAAGGCCCUUUCGGGGGUACACGAGUGGCGAACGGGUGAGUAACACGUGGGUGAUCUGCCCUGCACUUUGGGAUAAGCCUGGGAAACUGGGUCUAAUACCGGAUAGGACUACGCGAUGCAUGUCGUGUGGUGGAAAGCUUUUGCGGUGUGGGAUGGGCCCGCGGCCUAUCAGCUUGUUGGUGGGGUGAUGGCCUACCAAGGCGACGACGGGUAGCCGGCCUGAGAGGGUGUCCGGCCACACUGGGACUGAGAUACGGCCCAGACUCCUACGGGAGGCAGCAGUGGGGAAUAUUGCACAAUGGGCGCAAGCCUGAUGCAGCGACGCCGCGUGGGGGAUGACGGCCUUCGGGUUGUAAACCCCUUUCAGCACAGACGAAGCGUAAGUGACGGUAUGUGCAGAAGAAGCACCGGCCAACUACGU